CCUACGGUCCUCUUCAGGACCACAAAUAUGUGAAACGUGCUAU
rfam:Thelazia callipaeda genome assembly, scaffold: TCLT_contig0003406